rnacentral:rRNA from 1 species
ACACAUGCAAGUCGAACGGUAACAUUUCUAGCUUGCUAGAAGAUGACGAGUGGCGGACGGGUGAGUAAUGCUUGGGAACUUGCCUUUGCGAGGGGGAUAACAGUUGGAAACGACUGCUAAUACCGCAUAAUGUCUACGGACCAAACGGGGCUUCGGCUCCGGCGCAAAGAGAGGCCCAAGUGAGAUUAGCUAGUUGGUAAGGUAACGGCUUACCAAGGCGACGAUCUCUACUGUUCUGAGAGGAAGGUCAGCCACACUGGGACUGAGACACGGCCCAGACUCCUACGGGAGGCAGCAGUGGGGAAUAUUGCACAAUGGGGGAAACCCUGAUGCAGCCAUGCCGCGUGUGUGAAGAAGGCCUUCGGGUUGUAAAGCACUUUCAGUUGUGAGGAAAAGUUAGUAGUUAA